UUGCCUUUUCUUCCAGCUAGAACAGCACUAUUUAUUUUGAAAUAUUCAUGUAUGUGUUUACAACUAAUUUAUUCUGACAAAUGGAUUUGUCAACCCCAUGAGAGGGUUUUCCUCACAUGUGUAACACUUGAAACUGCUCAAAAAUUAAGGCAGCUCCUAAAUUCCACUGAGGGUAAUAUCCAGGUAAUAAAGGAAGCUCCCAGGCCUAAUGAGCUAUUUCCUAGCAAAGAUUUAAACAAAGUAAAAGACAUUUUCUUGCUCCACACUACAGGAAAUUCUGAUUUUUGCCUUGUGCUGUAAUUUUUUCAGCCUAUUAGAAAAACAGAUGUCGGUAAACACAAAAUACAACCCUAAAAAUAUAUUUUUUUAAAGAACCUCAUUAUCAAAUUAAGGACUUGUUUCAUAGGAGCUCACUGAUUAGUUACUACUUUCUAGUAGAAUGUUUUCUGACUGGGUCUUAAAAAAUUACAAAACUAAUUCUGAUUAAAAGCAAGAUAUAAUGCAAGUCAUAGGAGUUGUUUUAAAUUUUAUUUUCAGUACCUUUACGCGAACUUCAUGUUCUUUUGGUGGGGCAACUUCCACUUCCUCAAUACUGAAUGGUUUAUUGGCUUCCCACAGCACUGCUGCCUUGCAUUUAAUAACCUGCAAACAGAGCAAAGAAAAUGAGAAUGGCAUUUCAUUUUCAAGUCACCACACAGAUUCUUCCCUUUUUGCAUGUGAAACUCCUGCUCAUAUCUGUGGAGAUGAGAGGGAAACUACAGGAAAGAAAACCAAACCAAACAACAACAAAGUCAACACCAAAGACAGAGCAUGUUUGGAUGAAUCAUUGGCUUCUCCCAAAGGAACAGCCCCUUUCCUUUGUGGCAGGAUACUGAAGAAGGCCUCCUUCCAGUCUCUCUUCUCCAGCAUCUUCAGAGCAGAGCUGAUGGAAUGCAGGCAUGAAUAGACACUGCAAUUCUGCUACUCCUGCAGCCUGAAGCCAAGCACAUCCCGAGUCUCCAGCUGCAUGACAGUAUUUCUCUCAGGGACUGAGACAAAUACUUCAGUCUCAGCAGUGCCUUCUGUACAGGCACCAAUGCUUUCUCAUGUUUGACAGGAAUCCUGCUGUGGAUGUACUUUAAUAAAUAUUUUGACCCCUCCUAUAA